CCCUAGAGACACUGUGACUGACAUAUCCAUCUCUAGAGACAGUCUGACUGACAUAACUGCCCUUAGAGACAGUAUGACUGACAUCUCCAACCCUAGUCUGUCUGACAUAACUGCCCCCAGAACCUUUCCUAAGCGCCACAGGAUAAAUUAAAGGACAUUUAUGACAUAUCAAAAGUAAAUUCUACAAAUGUCUGAUAGGUGUUGGUUCCACGUCCAGGCCUCCCACUUGUCAGGAGAAUGGCAGUCUCCUUUUCCCCGAAUGAGUACUCCUGACAUCAGGAGGCCAUGCGUGCCAGUGUAGGUUAUGGGCGGUUUGGUAACAGCUUAGCAUUUUACAACUCCCAGAAACUACAGUGGAGAAGUGGCACCUAUACACUACUUUCUGGAUUACCAAACGGGGUCAUGGGACCCCAUACCCCUGAUACAUGAUGAACCAUCCCUGCUAUCCAUGCUCCUGAGUGUGAGCCACUCCUUUUCUCUCUAAUAGUAAGGAUGUGGAAUGCUGCACACAGUAGUUGCUGAUGCCUGCAAAAGACUGAAUAGUCGUCAUCAAUAAUAUGUCGAUUUUCUCUCUAACAUAGAAACUAGAUUGGAGUAGUCAUACAUAGACCAGUUUGGGUAUUGCGGGUGUCAUGUGGUCCCUAGGACGAAGGUUGUGCACCCCUGGACUGUAUAAUUAUCUAACUGACCUGGAGUCCCCUGGAGAUAGUCUGUGAUGUAGUACCGCAAAGUGUCCACAAGAUGGCGAACUUCACUGCAGUAACACAUUAUAUAACUAUGCCCUAUGGGCAGAGAGCAACAAAUUGAAUUAUGUAAUGUCUGCAAAUCUCUUAUUUCUAGCUAUUCUCAUGUCAAAUGCACCGUGAAUACACUGUUCAGACACGCAGCCCUAUGAACUCCCACAGUCCUCAGUUGCUUGCCAGCAGUCUCCAUGACAUUUCUAUUUGCUAUCAGGUUGAUUGGAGGUGAUCAUGAUCACAGCAUGUCUCAGAGGCAGAUGGCGAGUGGACAUCACUGUACCGCCUGUACAAAGACCCUUACGUGUCACCAAACACACAGAAGGAUGACAGAGGCCACUGUAAAGAGCUGGACUCCGGUUCUCAGGACAGAUGGUAAGAGCCCUACCAAAGGAAACAGCCCAAAAAAGACGUCAGAUCAACUAAGUAAGAGUUGUGAUAUGAAGAAAGAAAAACUGAAAAAGAGUGUCCCUAUGUUCAUGACAUAUACCAGGCAGCCUGUGUCCGGCCUUCACUCCCAAUGCAGACGCCUAGAGGAGGAGAAUGCCUACAUGCUGAGACAAAUAAUGGACAUGGAAGACAAGGCCAUGAAGAGUGCCACCCAGCAACUCCAGCAGUAUGAAAGGGCAGGGAGCAAUGUCCGUGCUGUGCAGAUUUGGACAGAUCAUCGAAUUCGAGACGCUCAACAGGAUCUGGAGUUGACCAGUGAAAGAAGAGAGGAACAUCUGACUGGACUGCGUCUUCAGCUGCAGAAUUGUGAGGAAAAGAUACAGGCGACCCAAAAAGACCUGCAACAACUGCGAGAGUACCGUGAUCGGGGGCAUUCAGUAAAAAUUCUUCAGGCUGCAGAGCUCGAGAGGCAGCUGCGUGUGUUAAGUGAGCUGCAUCAGGACCAGGCUGCUGAUGUGGAAGCCCUGGCGCAAACAGAGAUUGAAAAUUUGUUGGAAAGUCAUCAGAAAGUGAAGGACGGUGUGCUCCAGGGUGUAGUGGAGAAACAUCUGGAUUCUCUGCCUUUGUCUGUGAAAAGGAUGUGUCUUCAGAAUCAGGAGAUGAGGAGUGAAAUGAAAGCAUAUCAGCAGUCUCUUCCCACAGAUGAUUACAGGACUUCAGGAUGACAUUAAGAAGCUGCUGGAAACUGGAGAUUCUCUUCGUAAGUCAUGGAAAGAGGAGACAGACAGACUCUGCAGAGAGCUCCUGCUUAGCGUGCCCAGUUGUCCAGCUGAUGAAGAUGUAGUCCUGGAUAUCCCCCUGAACCAGCCAAUGUAUAUCUAGUGCAUGCCGCGGUCUGAAUACUCAUUACAACCUUCAUGCACAAUUACUUCUUAGACCGCACUGUUAUGCUGAACAAACCAUGGAACAUGAUGGCAGAACAAGGACUUUGUCUCCGUAAUUAUGUUAAGUUGCUAAAGAAUCCAUGAUGUGGAUGUGAGGGUAGAAGCUCAUGUCUCUAGGUGCAUCA